rnacentral:lncRNA from 1 species
CCCCGCGCCGCGUUCUCGCGAGACCCUCCGGGCCCACCGCCCAUUGGGCGGGCCCGCCGCCGCUCAGCUGAUGGGGAGUUCCGGUCCCGCCCCGCCCCGGAAGGCCGACGAGACCCCUAGAUGCCUGCUUCAGCCCCGCCAGCGCUGGGCCUGACGACCACGUGCUGUUGGGAACGAGUGACUUACAACAAGCAGGCUGCGCCCUCCCUCAGCCUUCGCAGAGACGUCCAGACCACCCGUGGUCACUCGGCUGGCGUCUGAGGCCCAGCUGUCCUCCCUCGAGCCCUGUGUGACCCGCCAGUCCAAGGCGAAGACUUACGGGAAACAUCAGUGGAGACGAAUACAAUGGAGAAGGCCCGAAGCACAGAUGGAACACACCUCAGCCUACGACAACAGAGCGGUUUCUAGUCCAUGGGGAAAAGGAUGAAUUGUUCCAUUAUUCUGUUAGAAAAAGCAACUACAUGUGGGGGAAACAGGCUUCAUGUUUUGUACUGACAUAAAUUACAGAUGGAUAAAUACUGAAAUGAAGAAACCAACAAUAUGAAAGCAUUCAGGGAAAAUUGGCAAAUAUAAAAUCUUCGAGAGGGGAACUUUUUAAAGGCCAACACUUAAGUCAGAAGGUAUUUAUUGAAAAAGUUGAUUUGUCUACAUAAAGACUUAAAACUUAGCAUGUAUAAAAUAAAUGUUUUGCUUUAAAAAAGUAUAUAAAAAACAAUAAUCUGUUCUUUAGACUCUCACGGAAAGGUAGGCAGCUGAUACGUGAGACUGCCGUAGGAGUGACCAGGCCCUUCAGAGGAGAGCUGCUGAGCAUGCCUCCCUCCUCUGGUGACUGCAUCUCCACUUUCAUUACUUAAUCCAUGGUGCCUGGGGUUGAGGUGCAGCUGGCUGCACCCCAGGUCCAGAAGUGGGCAAGUGACCUAAGGCCGUCCAGUCAUCAGCAUCCCAUCUGUUGAGCUACACUGAUUGGUUCAGAGGUGGACACGUGACCCAAGUUGAUGAGCGCUACAAGCAGGACUUUUCCGGAUGAGUGGUUCAGUGACCUGAGCAUCACUGUGUAACCAGCAGCAUCCCAUCCACAGAGCUAGCGACUGCUGCAGGGAUGGAUAUAUCCAAGUUGGUGAGAGCUAAAGCCAGGAUUGAUUCUGGGAAUGUUCAGGAGGGAGAGAUUCACCUUCCUUUGAGCUUGGUGGGGGUUUUGUUAUUCCUGCUGCUGCUGCUGUUGCUGCUGCUGCUGCUGCUGCUGCUGCUACUGAUACUGUUGUUUUUGUUUUGAGCUUAGUGUUAUAAAGAUACAGGCCUGGAGUUGUCAAGGGUCAUUUUGUAAAACUCAAAAAGUAAGCAAUGCAGAAAAAGGUAGAUAUACGAGAGAAAGACUGUUUGAAAAAGAUAGCUUGUGGCCUGGUGUGGUGGCAAGCGCUUGUAGUCCCAGCACUCAGAAGGCUGAGGCAGGAGGAUCGCUUUGAGUUUGAGGCCAGCCUGAGCUACAUAGAGAGUUUAAGGCCCACAUGAACUAUGUAGCAAGACCCUGCCUAAAAACAAAACAAAACAAGGGGCGGGGAUUUAGCUCAGUGGCUCCACACCUGCCCUCAAGCGAAAGGUCCUGAGUUUUAUCCCAGGUACCGAAAAACAAAACUAAGCAGGGGUGCAUAGUAAGCCUGCAGAAACAAGCCUCUCCAUGGUGACUGUGGAAACACAUCUCCCUCUCUUCAGAGAGCCAUAGCAAAGACCUAUAAGACACAACAAAAAGAUAGCUUACAAGAAUGGAUUCUAACACUUUUUUUUGUACAGGGGAUUGAACUGGGGAACUUGCGCUUGUGAGGCAGGUACGGUGCCACUGAGCUAAUCCCCAGCCUGAGUCUUGAUUCUAGACAUAGCUAAAAGUAGCUUUCUCUGUGACAUUUCAUCGAGUCCAUCAAUUCUCUUUUUGGUUAAGCAGAUGUGACUGUGACUUGUAAUUGAAAAAGUCUUGGCCAAUUCAUGGAAUACUGUACAUCCAUAUGUAUACACAAACAGAAAAGAAAAUGACUCGGGUGCCUUUCAUGAAAAAAAUCAAAGUGCACCAGUAAAUUUAUUUAAUUAUUUAUUUUGGAUAAAGGGGCUUGCUCUGUAGCCCAGGCUGGCCUCAGACUCAUAGCAAUCCUCCUGCCUCAGCCUCCCAAGUGCUGGGAUUAUAGGCCUGUGCCACCACGCUUAGCUAUACCAGUAAUUCUAAAAUUCAAAAGGGGAACAGGUUUGGUCAGUUGGUGUGAACUGUGUGAUGUGCUGGUGAUGUUUGGGAAGUGAGUGUGCUCAUGGAAGGCCACCAGGAAGGGGGUCACUCCGACCGACGGACAGUUCUGGAGGGCAGUUCAUCCUCUGCAUCUGAAGCACCUUUGCUCACAUCCGUGCAGUUCCACUGUAGGAGCAGGGGCAGAGACUGAGCUGCACAGUGUUCAUUACGCUGCUGCUGAAAAGAGUGAACCAAUUGGAAACGGCAAAGACUACAAGACAGCACUGGUAAAAGAUCACAGCGUGCAGACCUGGGGUCCUGGGGCGGUUUUUCACCUGCGCUGCAGGUGCUGGGCUGCAGAGGGCAGGUGCUCCCGACAGACUUUAUUUGCUCUUGCUGUGUAACAAGUUACCCUGACUUCAGCUGCUUCAGCAGCGCCCGUUCAGUCAUUCACAGCCCUGCAGGCCGGAGCUCUGCACUCUCCUGGCCACACACACGGGUUAAGCAGCAUGUGGCAGCAUGCAUCCCGUGGCCUGCCUGUUUCCUUGCUGCUGCUCAGCCCCUGGGCCUGCCAGUUCCUCAGCACACAGCCCAGCAGGGUCGAUGGCGGCAGCGGAGAAUCCACAGCACGGAGCCCUUGACCUCAGGAAGUGCUCAGUCGGUAGGGCUCACCCUCCAUCAGCUUCCUGCCUGAAGGCCGCGUCACUUGGGAACUCAAAUCCUGUCUACAAAUUCCACUCCCAGCAGCCCUGAGAUGGAGUUUGAGGAACCAGAAGGAAGUGUGUCCUUUAGGGGAUUGUGCUAGAAUUUGCCUGUCAUAAUUACGGAGUAAAACAGAGCCCACUUCAAAAAUAAAAGGUAGAGGGUUCCAUCUUCUGUAACAACAGCAACAAACAUAAUAAAAAUAAAGUCAACACCCAAAGUGCUAUGUCCUUGUUGUGAAGCCAGAAAACAGUGAGGGUCCUGACUGCGGUCCGGGCUCACGUGUAGAGAGACGG